GAAGCAGGUUACUUUGAGGGUGUGCUUCUCUGCAAAGAUGAUGAGGUAGCAGCAUUUGUGGAAGACAUCCAAAAGAGGACCAAGCAUGUGCCAGGAAAGGGGGUUUGUGGCAGGUCUCAGAUGAAUGCAGCCAAAGAGACGUGUAAGAGGAGUAGCUCCAGCCUUGAUGAGCAGGGUAUAGAAGUAGCUGUGUGCCGACAUGGGAUUAUUCUUCGUGCUCUGAAUAUGUUCAGG